GAUUCCUACGGGAGGCAGCAGUGGGGAAUCUUGCACAAUGGGGGAAACCCUGAUGCAGCGACGCCGCGUGAGCGAUGAAGCCCUUCGGGGUGUAAAGCUCUUUCGGCAGGGAAGAUUAUGACGGUACCUGCAGAAGCAGCUGCGGCUAACUACGUGCCAGCAGCCGCGGUAAUACGUAGGCAGCAAGCGUUGUUCGGAGUUACUGGGCGUAAAGGGUGUGUAGGCGGUUCUUUAAGUUUGGUGUGAAAUCUCCCGGCUCAACUGGGAGGGUGCGCCGAAUACUGAGGGACUAGAGUACGGGAGAGGAAAGUGGAAUUCCUGGUGUAGCGGUGAAAUGCGUAGAUAUCAGGAGGAACACCGGUGGUGUAGACGGCUUUCUGGACCGUAACUGACGCUGAGACACGAAAGCGUGGGUAGCAAACAGGAUUAGAUACCCUGGUAGUCCACGCCCUAAACGAUGCAUAUUUGGUGUGGGUCAUUCAGUUGAUCCGUGCCGGAGCUAACGCGUUAAAUAUGCCGCCUGGGGAGUACAGUCGCAAGGCUGAAACUCAAAGGAAUUGACGGGGGCCCGCACAAGCGGUGGAGCAUGUGGUUCAAUUCGACGCAACGCGAAGAACCUUACCUGGGCUCGAACGGCUGGUCAACGAUCGUGGAAACACGGUUACUCCGCAAGGAGGUCCAGUCGAGGUGCUGCAUGGCUGUCGUCAGCUCGUGUCGUGAGAUGUUGGGUUAAGUCCCGCAACGAGCGCAACCCUCGUCCUGUGUUGCCAUGGGGUAAAACCCGGAACUCGCAGGAGACCGCCAGCGAUAAGUUGGAGGAAGGUGGGGAUGACGUCAAGUCCUCAUGGCCUUUAUGUCCAGGGCUACACACGUGCUACAAUGGCCGGUACAAUCCGUCGCCAACCCGCAAGGGGGAGCCAAUCGGAAAAAACCGGUCUCAGUUCGGAUUGCAGGCUGCAACUCGCCUGCAUGAAGCUGGAAUCGCUAGUAAUGGCAGAUCAGCACGCUGCCGUGAAUACGUUCCCGGGCCUUGUACACACCGCCAUCCAUA
rnacentral:rRNA from 1 species